GCCGGAGUGGCGGAAUUGGUAGACGCGGCGGACUCAAAAUCCGUUUCCUGAAAGGGAGUGUGGGUUCAAGUCCCUCCUCCGGCACCA
rnacentral:tRNA from 1 species